GAUAGAGAAAAGGACCAUGAAGAACCUUCCCCAUUCUCAUGGGCUACUCAAGAUGCAGGUUGACAGUGGACUCAACUCUGGGAUGUAUGCAUCAGAGAUGGGCUCAGAGACUUGGACUCUGUCUUCGAUCCUGAAGCAGCCCUGCAGAUUGAUCACAGGCCCUCUCAGCCUCAGAUCGCAUUGGUACUGUUGGAACCAUGUAGUUUCAGCAGCAGUCCUGCUGAGAUGUGAGGAUGUUACAGUCAUCAGCAGGUCAAGUGAAAGAUCUGCUUCGUACCUUGGAGCAAACUCCAAUCUCCUUGCUUUAGGUCUUGGAGACCAUCUAGUUCAACCAUGGACCACCAUCCAUGAAGGACACACCCACCCUGCAUUCUCCACACAGAAAGACACAGAGGAGGCUCCCUCCUGGGACCUCAGAUUAGGCAUAAACCACACCCAAACACCUGUUUUUACUGAGAGAUUCUUUCUUAAGGAGGGCAGAAAAGUUAAAGUGGCUGAUUUUAGAACCUAGAGUCUGCUGGACGCCUCAUCAGGCCCACUAAACAGAGAUGCCAUUGAGUAGCCAUGAGACUCGUUCUGAGAACGAAGCAGUGUGGCAACCUGUAAACUGUUAAAGAAAAAUAACAAGGCUGUAGCAGCUUACCACAGAAAUUAGAGACCCAUGAGUUUCAGGAAGGAGAAUUCAAAGUGCUCAUAUUACAGAAGUUCAGUGAGGUGGAAGGAAACACAUUUAAGAAGAAAAGUAAAGAAAUUUGAGGGGGAAAGUAAACAUAUUUAUCAUUAAAUAAAAUUUAAACAUUUUCCCAGAGACAAUCAUAGGCAGAAAUUGUGAAGUAUGAAAUUGUAAUUUAAUUUGUGCAGAAAUUAAUUUAUGGACUGAGUUAGAAUUUAUACAUAAUUUGAAAAAAUGAUGUAGAUAACUUGUGUCAAUAAGCUACCAUUGUGCUGUGAAUUCUACUGUAUUCACAAUAAAAUUAUGGUUCAUAUCCUGAUAACUGGGAGGUAUAGCAGAAAAUAAAAUGCAUGAGGGUAAUG
rnacentral:lncRNA from 1 species